rnacentral:rRNA from 1 species
UGGGGAAUUUUGGACAAUGGGGGAAACCCUGAUCCAGCCAUCCCGCGUGUGCGAUGAAGGCCUUCGGGUUGUAAAGCACUUUUGGCAGGAAAGAAACGUCGCGGGUUAAUACCCCGCGGAACAUGACGGUACCUGCAGAAUAAGCACCGGCUAACUACGUGCCAGCAGCCGCGGUAAUACGUAGGGUGCAAGCGUUAAUCGGAAUUACUGGGCGUAAAGCGUGCGCAGGCGGUUCGGAAAGAAAGAUGUGAAAUCCCAGAGCUUAACUUUGGAACUGCAUUUUUAACUACCGGGCUAGAGUGUGUCAGAGGGAGGUGGAAUUCCGCGUGUAGCAGUGAAAUGCGUAGAUAUGCGGAGGAACACCGAUGGCGAAGGCAGCCUCCUGGGAUAACACUGACGCUCAUGCACGAAAGCGUGGGGAGCAAACAGGAUUAGAUACCCUGGUAGUCCACGCCCUAAACGAUGUCAACUAGCUGUUGGGGUCUUCGGACCUUGGUAGCGCAGCUAACGCGUGAAGUUGACCGCCUGGGGAGUACGGUCGCAAGAUUAAAACUCAAAUGAAUUGACGGGGUCAUAGCUGUUUCCU